AAGUCGUAACAAGGUUUCCGUAGGUGAACCUGCGGAAGGAUCAUUAAUAAUUUUUUUCAUCUAAUGAUGAAUAAAAAUUAACCUUGUGUGCAAACAUUGCUUUGAAAGGAAGAAGGUGAAUACCUUCAUCCUAAAAACAAAAACACAUCAUCAAACUUUAUGUAAAAACAAAAUAUAUUUAUAAUAAAAUACAACUUUCAACAACGGAUCUCUUGGCUCUC
rnacentral:misc_RNA from 1 species